UACGAAGGGAGCUAGCGUUGUUCGGAAUCACUGGGCGUAAAGCGCACGUAGGCGGAUGUGUCAGUCAGGGGUGAAAUCCCGGAGCUCAACUCCAGAACUGCCUUUGAUACUGGCGAGCUUGAGUUCGGGAGAGGUGAGUGGAACUGCGAGUGUAGAGGUGAAAUUCGUAGAUAUUCGCAAGAACACCAGUGGCGAAGGCGGCUCACUGGCCCGAUACUGACGCUGAGGUGCGAAAGCGUGGGGAGCAAACAGG
rnacentral:rRNA from 1 species